rnacentral:rRNA from 1 species
UGACGCUGGCGGAAUGCUUUACACAUGCAAGUCGAACGGUAGAGGGGGCAACCCCUCGAGAGUGGCGAACGGGUGAGUAAUGUAUCGGAACGUGCCCAGUCGUGGGGGAUAACGUAGCGAAAGUUACGCUAAUACCGCAUACGAUCUACGGAUGAAAGCGGGGGAUCGCAAGACCUCGCGCGAUUGGAGCGGCCGAUAUCAGAUUAGGUAGUUGGUGGGGUAAAGGCUCACCAAGCCAACGAUCUGUAGCUGGUCUGAGAGGACGACCAGCCACACUGGAACUGAGACACGGUCCAGACUCNUACGGGAGGCAGCAGUGGGGAAUUUUGGACAAUGGACGCAAGUCUGAUCCAGCCAUUCCGCGUGCAGGAUGAAGGCCCUCGGGUUGUAAACUGCUUUUGUACGGAACGAAAAGGUUUCUAUUAAUACUAGGAGCUCAUGACGGUACCGUAAGAAUAAGCACCGGCUAACUACGUGCCAGCAGCCGCGGUAAUACGUAGGGUGCAAGCGUUAAUCGGAAUUACUGGGCGUAAAGCGUGCGCAGGCGGUUAUAUAAGACAGAUGUGAAAUCCCCGGGCUCAACCUGGGAACUGCAUUUGUGACUGUAUAGCUAGAGUACGGUAGAGGGGGAUGGAAUUCCGCGUGUAGCAGUGAAAUGCGUAGAUAUGCGGAGGAACACCGAUGGCGAAGGCAAUCCCCUGGACCUGUACUGACGCUCAUGCACGAAAGCGUGGGGAGCAAACAGGAUUAGAUACCCUGGUAGUCCACGCCCUAAACGAUGUCAACUGGUUGUUGGGUCUUCGCUG